GAUUAAGUUAUUAAGGGCGCACGGUGGAUGCCUUGGCACUAGAAGCCGAUGAAGGACGUUACUAACGACGAUAUGCUUUGGGGAGCUGUAAGUAAGCUUUGAUCCAGAGAUUUCCGAAUGGGGAAACCCAGCAUGAGUUAUGUCAUGUUAUCGAUAUGUGAAUACAUAGCAUAUCAGAAGGCACACCCGGAGAACUGAAACAUCUUAGUACCCGGAGGAAGAGAAAGAAAAUUCGAUUCCCUUAGUAGCGGCGAGCGAAACGGGAAGAGCCCAAACCAACAAGCUUGCUUGUUGGGGUUGUAGGACACUCUAUACGGAGUUACAAAGGACGACAUUAGACGAAUCAUCUGGAAAGAUGAAUCAAAGAAGGUAAUAAUCCUGUAGUCGAAAAUGUUGUCUCUCUUGAGUGGAUCCUGAGUACGACGGAGCACGUGAAAUUCCGUCGGAAUCUGGGAGGACCAUCUCCUAAGGCUAAAUACUCUCUAGUGACCGAUAGUGAACCAGUACCGUGAGGGAAAGGUGAAAAGCACCCCGGAAGGGGAGUGAAAUAGAACCUGAAACCGUGUGCUUACAAGUAGUCAGAGCCCGUUAAUGGGUGAUGGCGUGCCUUUUGUAGAAUGAACCGGCGAGUUACGAUUUGAUGCAAGGUUAAGCAGUAAAUGUGGAGCCGUAGCGAAAGCGAGUCUGAAUAGGGCGUUUAGUAUUUGGUCGUAGACCCGAAACCAGGUGAUCUACCCUUGGUCAGGUUGAAGUUCAGGUAACACUGAAUGGAGGACCGAACCGACUUACGUUGAAAAGUGAGCGGAUGAACUGAGGGUAGCGGAGAAAUUCCAAUCGAACCUGGAGAUAGCUGGUUCUCUCCGAAAUAGCUUUAGGGCUAGCCUCAAGUGAUGAUUAUUGGAGGUAGAGCACUGUUUGGACGAGGGGCCCCUCUCGGGUUACCGAAUUCAGACAAACUCCGAAUGCCAAUUAAUUUAACUUGGGAGUCAGAACAUGGGUGAUAAGGUCCAUGUUCGAAAGGGAAACAGCCCAGACCACCAGCUAAGGUCCCAAAAUAUAUGUUAAGUGGAAAAGGAUGUGGCGUUGCCCAGACAACUAGGAUGUUGGCUUAGAAGCAGCCAUCAUUUAAAGAGUGCGUAAUAGCUCACUAGUCGAGUGACACUGCGCCGAAAAUGUACCGGGGCUAAACAUAUUACCGAAGCUGUGGAUUGUCCUUUGGACAAUGGUAGGAGAGCGUUCUAAGGGCGUUGAAGCAUGAUCGUAAGGACAUGUGGAGCGCUUAGAAGUGAGAAUGCCGGUGUGAGUAGCGAAAGACGGGUGAGAAUCCCGUCCACCGAUUGACUAAGGUUUCCAGAGGAAGGCUCGUCCGCUCUGGGUUAGUCGGGUCCUAAGCUGAGGCCGACAGGCGUAGGCGAUGGAUAACAGGUUGAUAUUCCUGUACCACCUAUAAUCGUUUUAAUCGAUGGGGGACGCAGUAGGAUAGGCGAAGCGUGCGAUUGGAUUGCACGUCUAAGCAGUAAGGCUGAGUAUUAGGCAAAUCCGGUACUCGUUAAGGCUGAGCUGUGAUGGGGAGAAGACAUUGUGUCUUCGAGUCGUUGAUUUCACACUGCCGAGAAAAGCCUCUAGAUAGAAAAUAGGUGCCCGUACCGCAAACCGACACAGGUAGUCAAGAUGAGAAUUCUAAGGUGAGCGAGCGAACUCUCGUUAAGGAACUCGGCAAAAUGACCCCGUAACUUCGGGAGAAGGGGUGCUCUUUAGGGUUAACGCCCAGAAGAGCCGCAGUGAAUAGGCCCAAGCGACUGUUUAUCAAAAACACAGGUCUCUGCUAAACCGUAAGGUGAUGUAUAGGGGCUGACGCCUGCCCGGUGCUGGAAGGUUAAGAGGAGUGGUUAGCUUUUGCGAAGCUACGAAUCGAAGCCCCAGUAAACGGCGGCCGUAACUAUAACGGUCCUAAGGUAGCGAAAUUCCUUGUCGGGUAAGUUCCGACCCGCACGAAAGGCGUAACGAUUUGGGCACUGUCUCAACGAGAGACUCGGUGAAAUCAUAGUACCUGUGAAGAUGCAGGUUACCCGCGACAGGACGGAAAGACCCCGUGGAGCUUUACUGUAGCCUGAUAUUGAAAUUCGGCACAGCUUGUACAGGAUAGGUAGGAGCCUUUGAAACGUGAGCGCUAGCUUACGUGGAGGCGCUGGUGGGAUACUACCCUAGCUGUGUUGGCUUUCUAACCCGCACCACUUAUCGUGGUGGGAGACAGUGUCAGGCGGGCAGUUUGACUGGGGCGGUCGCCUCCUAAAAGGUAACGGAGGCGCUCAAAGGUUCCCUCAGAAUGGUUGGAAAUCAUUCAUAGAGUGUAAAGGCAUAAGGGAGCUUGACUGCGAGACCUACAAGUCGAGCAGGGUCGAAAGACGGACUUAGUGAUCCGGUGGUUCCGCAUGGAAGGGCCAUCGCUCAACGGAUAAAAGCUACCCCGGGGAUAACAGGCUUAUCUCCCCCAAGAGUUCACAUCGACGGGGAGGUUUGGCACCUCGAUGUCGGCUCAUCGCAUCCUGGGGCUGUAGUCGGUCCCAAGGGUUGGGCUGUUCGCCCAUUAAAGCGGUACGCGAGCUGGGUUCAGAACGUCGUGAGACAGUUCGGUCCCUAUCCGUCGUGGGCGUAGGAAAUUUGAGAGGAGCUGUCCUUAGUACGAGAGGACCGGGAUGGACAUACCUCUGGUGUACCAGUUGUCGUGCCAACGGCAUAGCUGGGUAGCUAUGUGUGGACGGGAUAAGUGCUGAAAGCAUCUAAGCAUGAAGCCCCCCUCAAGAUGAGAUUUCCCAACUUCGGUUAUAAGAUCCCUCAAAGAUGAUGAGGUUAAUAGGUUCGAGGUGGAAGCAUGGUGACAUGUGGAGCUGACGAAUACUAAUCGAUCGAAGACUUAAUCAA
rnacentral:rRNA from 2 species